rnacentral:rRNA from 1 species
GACGAACGCUGGCGGCGUGCUUAACACAUGCAAGUCGAACGGAAAGGCCCUGCUUUUGUGGGGUGCUCGAGUGGCGAACGGGUGAGUAACACGUGAGUAACCUGCCCUUGACUUUGGGAUAACUUCAGGAAACUGGGGCUAAUACCGGAUAGGAGCUCCUGCUGCAUGGUGGGGGUUGGAAAGUUUCGGCGGUUGGGGAUGGACUCGCGGCUUAUCAGCUUGCUGGUGGGGUAGUGGCUUACCAAGGCUUUGACGGGUAGCCGGCCUGAGAGGGUGACCGGCCACAUUGGGACUGAGAUACGGACCAGACUCCUACGGGAGGCAGCAGUGGGGAAUAUUGCACAAUGGGCGGAAGCCUGAUGCAGCAACGCCGCGUGCGGGAUGACGGCCUUCGGGUUGUAAACCGCUUUCGCCUGUGACGAAGCGUGAGUGACGGUAAUGGGUAAAGAAGCACCGGCUAACUACGUG